UACGUAGGGUGCGAGCGUUGUCCGGAAUUACUGGCGUAAAGGGCUCGUAGGUGGCCAACUAAGUCAGACGUGAAAUCCCUCAGCUUAACUGGGGAACUGCGUCUGAUACUGGAUGGCUUGAGAUUGGGGAGAGGGACGCGGAAUUCCAGGUGUAGCGGUGAAAUGCAUAGAUAUCUGGAGGAACACCGGUGGCGAAGGCGGCGUCCUGGACCAACACUGACACUGAGGAGCGAAAGCCAGGGGAGCAAACGGGG
rnacentral:rRNA from 1 species